GAACGGGUGAGGAACACGUGAGAAACCUGCCUUUCAUUCUGGGAUAACACCGGGAAACCGGUGCUAAUACCGGAUACUCCAUCUUGGCGGCAUCGCCGAGCUGGGAAAAAAUUUUGAUGAAAGAUGGUCUCGCGGCCUAUCAGCUAGUUGGUGAGGUAAAGGCUCACCAAGGCGACGACGGGUAGCCGGCCUGAGAGGGCGACCGGCCACACUGGGACUGAGACACGGCCCAGACUCC
rnacentral:rRNA from 1 species